GACGAACCGUGCGAACGUUAUUCGGAAUCACUGGGCUUAAAGCGCGUGUAGGCGGGACGGCACGUCUGUCGCUGAAAUCCCCCGGCUCAACCGGGGAACGGGCGCGGAUACGACCGUCCUGGAGGGGCGUAGGGGGACCUGGAACUUCCGGUGGAGCGGUGAAAUGCGUUGAGAUCGGAGGGAACGCCCGUGGCGAAAGCGAGGUCCUGGACGCUUACUGACGCUGAGACGCGAAAGCCAGGGGAGCGGAACGGG
rnacentral:rRNA from 1 species